rnacentral:rRNA from 1 species
UGCCAGACUCCUACGGGAGGCAGCAGUCGGGAAUAUUGCGCAAUGGAGGAAACUCUGACGCAGUGACGCCGCGUGCAGGAAGAAGGUUUUCGGAUUGUAAACUGCUUUAGACAGGGAAGAAACAAGACAGUACCUGUAGAAUAAGCUCCGGCUAACUACGUGCCAGCAGCCGCGGUAAUACGUAGGGGACAAGCGUUAUCCGGAUUUACUGGGUGUAAAGGGAGCGUAGACGGCGACGCAAGUCUGAAGUGAAAUGCCAGUGCUCAACACUGGAACUGCUUUGGAAACUGUGUAGCUAGAGUGCAGGAGAGGUAAGUGGAAUUCCUAGUGUAGCGGUGAAAUGCGUAGAUAUUAGGAGGAACACCAGUGGCGAAGGCGGCUUACUGGACUGUAACUGACGUUGAGGCUCGAAGGCGUGGGGAGCAAACAGGAUUAGAUACCCCGGUACGG